UAGAAUGAUGUCGAAUGGGCAGGCCUUCCUAACUUCCGGACAGGCGCCAUAUUGGAAAAAACUGGACAUACUCAGAGAGUCAGUGGAAAUACUAGACACAACAUCCUAGCUGGUUUUCCAAUUUGUCCUACAGACUAUGAAAACACUGCUGUAGUUCUUUGAUUCUUUGAUAACUUGUACAUGUUGUUGUGAUGUAACCAAUUACUUUUCAUAAACUACAUGUACAAAAUGAAAGACAGAAGGUUAGAAUGCAGAACUGGUGAAGAUGAAGGUUGUAAUUGUGAUCUACAUAUUGAUUAAUUUGAAGCAGAAUUUGUUCUUAAGAGUGAAAUAAAAAAAAAACUGUGUUUUAGAAAGAUGUUCCACUAUUACCACAACAACAAAAAUAUUCAUUGUUUGAUUGAGAGAUAAAAAUGUAAAUAAAGAGUACUAGACACGU